rnacentral:lncRNA from 1 species
AUGAUAACUUUUCACUGAUGCUCCCAUAUCUUGGCAGUGCCACCCUUUGUGAGAACCCAUUCUAGACAGGCAUCAUUUAGCUUCUCCCCCAUCCUCACCACCCCCUUUGCUUAGAAGGUCCUUAUGCACUGGAUCAUCUGUUUGGGUUUGUAACACAGAGGGCAUGUGCAGAUAGUCAAUCGUCUGGUUUUUCUUAAUUGAAAUGUUAUCUCUCUCCCCAUUGACAGCUUCACCAGCAAGACACACGACAUCAGUAUCCCCCUCGCCUGCCGGGCGAUCUCCAUUGAAGGGCUCUGUGCAGUCUUUCACCCCCUCUCCAGUGGAGUACCACUCGCCAGGACUCAUCUCCAACUCCCCUGUCUUGUCGGGCAGCUACAGCAGUGGGAUUUCUUCUCUCAGCCGGUGCAGCACGUCGGAAACCUCAGGCUUUGAAAAUCAGGUGAAUGAACAGUCGGCCCCCCUGCCGGUGCCAGUGCCGGUGCCCGUGCCGAGCUACGGCGGGGAGGAGCCAGUGCGCAAGGAGAGCAAGACUCCGCCCCCGUACAGCGUCUACGAGCGGACUCUGCGGCGCCCCGUCCCGCUACCUCAC